UCUGGUGUGGAGAAGACUGGGAGUUGUGGGGGGAGGUAGACUUUAACAGUCAGGGCAGGGUCGGGUGUUGUAGUGCAACAACCACAACUGGUGGCCUCAGCAUUCGCCAUUGUGACAGUCCUCUCACUGAACAACAAAUCCCUGACUCCUUUGUCAGACAUAUGGUUCUAAUGCUAGUCAUUACAUUCCAACCAUGAAACCCAGUUGUGUGACCCAGCACUAUAGAUAUGCUCUACUUCGUGUCUCCAGGCCUUUUAGUUCCGUGGCAUGUGACUUUAUAGCGCAAGAAGCGGACAGUCAGGAUUAGGUACUGUUGACAAACGGAGCUGACAGUCAGCCAUCAUUACUUCAAGUACUGCAAAGUGUCAGCCCUGGCCCUGCUGAAGAUGGUCAUGCAUGCCCGAUCAGGAGGGAAUCUGGAGGUGAUGGGCCUCAUGCUUGGAAAAGUGGAUGGGGAGACUAUGAUCAUUAUGGACAGUUUUGCUUUACCAGUUGAAGGAACUGAAACCAGAGUCAAUGCUCAAGCUGCUGCUUAUGAAUACAUGGCUGCGUAUAUUGAAAAUGCAAAGCAGCUCAUUAUGUGACUUGAGGGUCAUGAAGCUGUGGUGAUCCAAGAUGGCAGCUGCUAACUAGUAAAAAUGAGCAGAACUUCAGGAUACUCUAUAGCCAGAAUACUGUACCUUAAAAGCAAAUAUGUAGUUCAAGAGAAGGGGCUUUCGUUUUUCAAUUGAGGUUCAUGUCUGCAUUAAUUCCAGUCUCCUUUAACUACUUUCAUCACUAGAAACAACCAAUGGCCAGGUUGGAAGACUUGAAAAUGCAAUGGGCUGUUACCACAGUCAGUACCCAGAUGCUUAAUCAGCAGUUUUAAGAACCCUUUGUUGCAGUAGUGAUUGAUCCAACAAGAACAAUAUCCGCUGGCAAAGUUAAUCUUGGUGCUUUCAGAACAUAUCCAAAGGGCUAUAAACCUCCAGAUGAAGGUCCUUCAGAAUACCAGACAAUUCCUUUGAACAAAAUAGAAGAUUUUGGGGUGCAUUAUAUUAUGCCUUGGAAGUUACGUACUUUAAAUCAUCUUUGGACCGGAAUCUUCUUGAGCUGUUGUGGAAUAAAUAUUGGGUGAAUACACUGAGUUCCUCAAGCCUUCUGACAAUAAGUAAACCACCUGCGUACGUGUUUAAUUUAUCCUGUUUAUAAGUCUCCUGAAAUCUUUUCAUUUGUAUCCACAGAGUCAUUUGUGUAUAUUCCCACUAUGGUGUAAAAACUCCACCUACCUUUCCCCAGGUAAAGGGUAAAUCAGAUUUCCUGAGCUGCAUGUCUUCACUGACCUGUGGAAACCUACAUGACUAAUAAGAGCUGCAAGACCACUAUUGAAGCCA